ensembl:lncRNA
UGAGCUGUGUGGUAUCUCCAUAACGGUAAGUUCUGUUUAUCUAUUGGUGUAGUAUCUCCGUAAUGGUGAGCUCUCUUGUAUCUCCGUAAUGGUAAGUUCUGUUUAUCUCUUGGUGUGGUAUCUCCGUAAUGGUAAGUUCUGUUUAUCUCUUGGUGUGGUAUCUCCGUAAUGGUAAGUUCUGUUUAUCUCUUGGUGUGGUAUCUCCGUAGUGGUAAGUUCUGUUUAUCUCUUGGUGUGGUAUCUCCGUAAUGGUAAGUUCUGUUUAUCUAUUGGUGUGGUAUCUCCGUAGUGGUAAGUUCUGUUUAUCUCUUGGUGUGGUAUCUCCGUAAUGGUGAGCUGUGUGGUAUCGCCAUAAUGGUGAGCUGUGUGGUAUCUCCAUAACGGUAAGUUCUGUUUAUCUAUUGCUCUAGUAUCUCCAUAAUGGUGAGCUGUGUGGUAUCUCCAUAACGGUAAGUUCUGUUUAUCUAUUGGUGUAGUAUCUCCGUAAUGGUGAGCUGUCUGGUAUCUCCUUAAUGGUAAGUUCUGUUUCUCGGUAUGCUAUCUCCGUAAUGGUGAGCUGUGUGGUUCUCUUGGUGUGGCAUCUGUAAUGGUAAGCUCUAGUAUCUCCGUAAUGGUGAGCUGUGUGGUAUCUCUUGGUGUUGGUAUCUGUAAUGGUAAGCUCUAGUAUCUUCAUAAUGGUGAGCUGUGUGGUAUCUCCGUAAUGGUGAGCUGUGUGGUAUCUCCAUAACGGUAAGUUCUGUUUAUCUAUUGGUGUAGUAUCUCUGUAAUGGUGAGCUGUGUGGUUCUCUUGGUGUGGCAUCUGUAAUGGUGAGCUGUGUGGUUCUCUUAGUGUUGGUAUCUGUAAUGGUAAGCUCUAGUAUCUCCAUAAUGGUGAGCUGUGUGGUAUCUAUAAUGGUAAGCUCUAGUAUCUCCGUAACGGUAAGCUGUGUGUUUAACUCUUGGUGUGGUAUCUGUAAUGGUAAGCUCUAGUAUCUCCGUAAUGGUGAGCUGUGUGGUAUCUCCGUAAUGGUGAGCUGUGUGGUUCUCUUGGUGUUGGUAUCUGUAAUGGUAAGCUCUAGUAUCUCCAUAACGGUGAGCUGUGUGGUAUCUCCAUAACAGUGAGCUGUGUGGUAUCUCCGUAAUGGUGAGCUGUGUGGUUCUCUUGGUGUUGGUAUCUGUAAUGGUAAGCUCUAGUAUCCCCGUAAUGGUGAGCUGUGUGGUGUCUCCAUAAUGGUGAGCUGUGUGGUUAUCUCUUGGUGUGGUGUCUCCAUAAUGGUGAGCUGUGUGGUUAUCUCUUGGUGUGGUAAUGGUAAACUGUGUGGUUAUCUCUUGGUGUGGUAAUGGUAAACUGUGUGGUUAUCUCUUGGUGUGGUAAUGGUAAACUGUGU